rnacentral:rRNA from 1 species
AUUGAACGCUGGCGGCGUGCUUAACACAUGCAAGUCGAUCGGUAACAGGUGUAGCAAUACAUGCUGACGAGAGGCGGACGGGUGAGUAAUGCUUGGGAAUCUGCCUAUUAGUGGGGGACAACCCGGGGAAACUCGGGCUAAUACCGCAUACGCUCUACGGAGGAAAGCCGGGGACCGCAAGGCCUGGCGCUAAUAGAUGAGCCCAAGUCGGAUUAGCUAGUUGGUAGGGUAACGGCCUACCAAGGCGACAAUCCGUAGCUGGUCUGAGAGGACGACCAGCCACACCGGAACUGAGACACGGUCCGGACUCCUACGGGAGGCAGCAGUGGGGAAUAUUGGACAAUGGGGCAACCCUGAUCCAGCGACGCCGCGUGGGUGAAGAAGGCCUGCGGGUUGUAAA